CCUACGGGAGGCUGCAGUGAGGAAUAUUGGUCAAUGGGCGCAAGCCUGAACCAGCCAAGUCGCGUGAGGGAAGACGGCCCUACGGGUUGUAAACCUCUUUUGUCGGGGAGCAAGCCUGAGCACGCGUGCCCAGGCGGAGAGUACCCGGAGAAAAAGCAUCGGCUAACUCCGUGCCAGCAGCCGCGGUAAUACGGAGGAUGCGAGCGUUAUCCGGAUUUAUUGGGUUUAAAGGGUGCGCAGGCGGGCUGUUAAGCCGGCGGUAAAAAUUCAGGGCUCAACCCUGUCGAGCCGUCGAAACUGGCAGUCUUGAGUGGGCGAGAAGUAUGCGGAAUGCGUGGUGUAGCGGUGAAAUGCAUAGAUAUACGGCAGAACACCAGUGGCGAAGGCAGAUUGCUGGACAGUAACUGACGCUGAGGCGCGAAAGCGUGGGGAGCGAACAGGAUUAGAUACCCCAGUAGUC
rnacentral:rRNA from 1 species